rnacentral:tRNA from 1 species
ACAUUGGUGGUUCAGUGGUAGAAUCCUCGCCUUCCAUGCUGCAGACCCAGGUUCAGUUUCUGGCCAGUGCA